rnacentral:rRNA from 1 species
GACGAACGCUGGCGGCGUGCUUAACACAUGCAAGUCGAACGGAAAGGCCCUGCUUUUGUGGGGUGCUCGAGUGGCGAACGGGUGAGUAACACGUGAGCAACCUGCCCUUGACUUUGGGAUAACUUCAGGAAACUGGGGCUAAUACCGGAUAGGAGCUCCUGCUGCAUGGUGGGGGUUGGAAAGUUUCGGCGGUUGGGGAUGGACUCGCGGCUUAUCAGCUUGUUGGUGGGGUAGUGGCUUACCAAGGCUUUGACGGGUAGCCGGCCUGAGAGGGUGACCGGCCACAUUGGGACUGAGAUGCGGCCCAGACUCCUACGGGAGGCAGCAGUGGGGAAUAUUGCACAAUGGGCGGAAGCCUGAUGCAGCAACGCCGCGUGCGGGAUGACGGCCUUCGGGUUGUAAACCGCUUUCGCCUGUGACGAAGCGUGAGUGACGGUAAUGGGUAAAGAAGCACCGGCUAACUACGUG